GUUUUUGAGAAUCAUGAUGAGGCAUUAAAGAAGAGGAGGAGUGUCUCAAGGGAGGUGAGCUGGAGGUGAUGCAAGGUGGAGAGAGGAUGCCAGACAGAUAUUUGAGCAGAACAAAGAGAGCCAACAGGAUGAAGGCAUUCCCUGGCUGGUUGGACAAGCAACUGAAGAACAGGAACAGAAGUGAAUGAAAAGAGAAGAUGCUGUGUUUGUGUUUUCUCUUGGUUAGAAUGCUGUGAGUCAGGACCUUAGCUGCUGGGUGUCCUGGGACUGCCUUCGAUGAAGAACCUGAGGCUCACCUUGCUUAAGUGACUUGAGCAGCUUCACGCAUCUUUCUGACAUUCCAGCAAUACCGGAGCAUUGACAGUUGAUAAUAGCUCUAUGUGCUACCUCUCCAAGAAACAAAUUUGCAUUUUAACCUGCCCCUUCAAUGGCUGAACUUCAAAGGGUCACUGAUGAAUGCCACAGCAGAGAAAACUGCAAAUUGGAACAGCAGAGCUGUGCCUCUGGCCAUUUCCUGGAACUACAGAGGAGCAACUUGCCCCGGUUUCCAGUGGGUGAUGUUCCUCUUCUGCCACAGUCCCUGGCGAUGUUGAUGUGAUUGCCAUCAGAGCUCAGAAGCACAGAGCAGAAUCAUCCCCUGGAGGAGGAUUCCCUUCAGUGUAAGAAGUUCUUACAGAAUUAAUCCUCAAAGACUGUGGGUGGACUCUGCCAGGUUUUUCCCCGGGUGUACCAGAAGAGAGGAAGAGCCCUCAAAUACAGGAAAGUGCUCUUUUCAGUGACAGUAGUUCUUUUGGGCCCUGUGGCUAAGUGUGCUCCCACCCCAGCAGUAAGAUCACAGCUAAUCCUGAGAGGCAAGAGCUCACACCAGGCUACUGAAAGAAAAAGUGUCCUUUGUGGAUUGCAAGAGGAACUGGGACACACUGCUGGAAAUGAAGUGGCAGGUCAUAAACUAUCAUAAACUCAGGAGGAGAGGUGUUCCUUUUUGAGACACUCAUCACAACUAGAGAGAAUGCAGCUAAGAAAAUGCAGUCUUUAGGGGGACCUGGACUGUUGAAGUAUUUGAGCUAUUCGGAGGAAAUAGAAACUUGGAAGAGAUCUUUGUUCCACUAUUAUUUGGCAGCCCCUUACCCGCAGCUGCCAUUACUCCAGAUUCUCUCUGAUGAUCCUGCAUCAGGAGAAUGAGUUGACUGGGCACCACUGGGAAAUGUGGGCAGCUCCAGGCUGAACUAGAGAAGGGGCAUGUCAAAGGUCACUUAUUUGUGGCUUGACCCUUUGGAGGCCAGAUGUAAGAAUCAAUUUCUCACAGGUCCCAUGCUAACGCUUUUCAUAUUUAUUUCCAUCUGAGACUCACUUAGGCUAGGCAAAUAUCCCAUGGGUCUGUACCUCUCCAGUGCUUUCUUGCUCAUGUAAAAUUAGCUCAUUGGAAUGAAUAAAGAGAAUGGUAUUACUUUGGCUCGAACACGAAUGAGCACUUUCACUUUGUCAUAGUGUAAAUAUUAAAGUUGUAAGAGACAGCCCAGGGACCAACUAUUUUUUUUUUAAAGAUCCAAGUGCUUGCAUAGUUUCUAAAAUUCUACACCGGGGAACUAUAUCCUCAUUCAGCACUGAGACUCCUUGGUUCCCUAAAACCAAAGUCUCCAGGUGCCUUCAGGGGCCAACCAAGAUGGAGCUCCUUAUAGACCCAUGCAAUGUCAGAACUGGAAAACUUAGAAAUCUUUCAGUCCACCCAUCAUUUUAUGGGUGGCAAACUGAGAUCCAGAGAAUGCUCAAAUCUCAUAAUUAGCUAUGAAAGGUUAUGAUUAAAAUGCAAAUUUGGGGCCUCCAAUUUGGUCCUCUUUUCACUCUCCUUCUUGCUGGGGAAAGAACAGUGAUUCCUUGAUUGGCAGAGCAGAAAAUAUCUUCAGUUUUUAGGAUGACUUUAUUCCCCUAAAGAGUAUCUUUGUCACAUCUCCUCCUUGUCCAUUUUUAGAGACUCUACAGUGUUUAGCUACUGGUAGAUUUGUUCUAGUGGAUCUGGUACAAAUCUUAUAGAAAUAUCUACAAUUAUUCCAUGUUAUUCUGAAAUUAUUCAUACAGCAUUUCUUCUGUUUUAUUAGCCAUUUUUAAGGGAGAAGGAACCUAAGAUUAAUUGCUAUGGCUACAUGUCAUGCUCACCAAUGAACUCACCUCAUUUUAAUCCUCAUGAUCUAUUAUAGUAGGAAUGCUUGUUGUACAUAAGUAUUCAGGAUUACUGAAUCCACUUGAAUUUUUUGAGGACAGUGGCCAAAUACAAUUCUGUGGUCAAUUUAGGCUGCUCCUACUGUUCCCUGAUGUUAGGCAUUUUCUUCCACUAGGUCCUCUGGAAGGAUGAAAAACAAGGCAUUAUUAUACUUUUGAAUAAAAAUGGUUUGCCAAACAGAUUAUGUUUGUAGUUUGUGCUGUUGAACAGAAAUAAUAAAGAACUCUACUUGAAGUCUGAAACAAAUUCAGGAAAAAAUUAAAGGCAGUUUUAUUUUACAUAGUAGGGAGUAGAUUUUAGGAACUCCUUGCUCCUGGGGUAGAGCAUAUGAAUGUGUAUUCUAGAGAGAUUCAGACAAAUUCACUUAUGUUAGACAAAUGACUUUAAGGGAAACUAGGAAUGUUUUCAGGGCACAUAACCUUGUAUUUAAAAGAUACUGUUAUUAGAUCAUUUUUUCUC
rnacentral:lncRNA from 1 species